CUCAGGGUUGUCUGAGGUGACAACUCCCAUUCAGGGACUCUCUGACCUGCUCCAUCGAAACAGGAACACAACAUUUACUGACCGAAGAACAGUCCAGAAAUGUUAGGGAUACAUUCACUUGUCUGGUUUACAGAGGAAUCAUGGAAGAUCCAGUAUUUGCAGCAUGCUGUGGAAGUUUGGUCGGAUGCAGAUCCUGCACUACUGUGUGGCUUCAGAAUUCCUCAAUGUGUUUGAAGUGUCAAGCGGAUGAUUUUUCCAUCAACAUUCACAGAGUCACUGGCCUUUCUGGUGUAGUAAAUGUCAUGAGAGAGCUGGCACACGAAGAGUAAAUGCUGCUUUUCUGCUUGCCACCAAUCCUUAUUUGUCAGUGUUAUAUCAUGUUAUAAAUACUUUUGAUAUUGAGGACUGAUGUUUUUUAUGUCGCAUCUUAGUUCUGGAGUUUUAAGAGCUAGAAAAUGUAACGAUGUUUUAUGUUACAUCAUUGUUCCCACCUCACAGUAGUUUUAUAAGAGCUAGUAGGUCUAAAUGUGGCAAGAUGUUUUUAUGCUACAUUAUUGUUCUCAGCCCACAGUGAUUUUAUAAGAGCUAGUAGGCCUAAACAUGGCAAUAUGUUGUGACAGGCUCUUCUGUGGAGAUUUGCAAAGCUGGACUUACUUUGUUUGUCUGAUUAUUCUUUCUGUACAAACGCAAAAUAAAUAUAUUUCUUCUCCAUAAAA